GGAGAGAUGCGAGAGCGGUUGAAUCGGACGGUCUCGAAAAUCGUUGAACCCCUUGGGGUUCCGAGGGUUCGAAUCCCUCUCUCUCCG
rnacentral:tRNA from 1 species